rnacentral:rRNA from 1 species
ACUCAAAUGAAUAGACGGGGGCCCGCACAAGCGGUGGAGCAUGUGGUUUAAUUCGAUGAUACGCGAGGAACCUUACCAGGGCUUGAAUGUAGUCUGACAGAUCUGGAAACAGAUCCUUCUUCGGACAGAUUACAAGGUGCUGCAUGGUUGUCGUCAGCUCGUGCCGUGAGGUGUCAGGUUAAGUCCUAUAACGAGCGCAACCCCUGUCGUUAGUUGCCAGCAUGUAAAGAUGGGAACUCUAACGAGACUGCCGGUGCAAACCGUGAGGAAGGUGGGGAUGACGUCAAAUCAUCACGGCCCUUACGUCCUGGGCCACACACGUGCUACAAUGGCAGGUACAAUGGGCAGCCACGCCGCAAGGCGGAGCGAAUCCACAAAACCUGUCUCAGUUCGGAUCGGGGUCUGCAACUCGACCCCGUGAAGCUGGAAUCGCUAGUAAUCGGAUAUCAGCCAUGAUCCGGUGAAUACGUUCCCGGGCCUUGUACACACCGCCCGU